rnacentral:rRNA from 1 species
CCUACGGGCGGCAGCAGUGAGGAAUAUUGGUCAAUGGUCGUGAGGCUGAACCAGCCAAGUCGCGUGCAGGAUGACGGCCCUACGGGUUGUAAACUGCUUUUAUGCGGGGGCAAAGUGCGUCACGUGUGAUGCUUUGAGGGUACCGCAUGAAAAAGGACCGGCUAAUUCCGUGCCAGCAGCCGCGGUAAUACGGAGGAUCCGGGCGUUAUCCGGAUUUAUUGGGUUUAAAGGGUGCGCAGCCGGAGGUGAAAGCCUGCGUUCAAAUGCCUGGGCUCAACCCCGUACUGCCGCGGAAACUGCCUUCCUUGAGUGCGCGGAAAGUAUGCGGAAUGCGUGGUGUAGCGGUGAAAUGCAUAGAUAUCACGCAGAACUCCGAUUGCGAAGGCAGCAUACCGGAGCGCUACUGACGCUGAUGCACGAAGGCGUGGGUAUCGAACAGGAUUAGAUACCCGUGUAGUC